AUGGGGGUAGCGGGCUGGGCACGCGCUCGGGAGUCUGCGGGCGCCAUGGGCAGAGUGAGGAACCGGGCCACUGCUCAGCGGCGGAGGCGAAAGCGGCCCGGGGAUCCCCCCGCCGGCUGCGCGGCCAUCGCGGUCAUGGGCGCCAGCCGCGCGCAGUGCCCCCGGGUCCAAGUCGGGGUCGGGAGCCACGCGGCGGCCAAGAGGUGGCUGGGAAGGUUGCGGCGGAAGCGCCGGUGGCGGCGGGUCCGGGAGGCGGGCCCCAGAAACCCGCUGCCCUCCACGCCACUCCCGGACCCUCCGGCGCCCGCCGAGUCCCCUGAGGAGCUGGACCUGGGCGCACAGCGGGAGCGCUGGGAGACGUUCAGGAAGCUGUGGGGCCUCAGCUGCGAGGGCGCCGCCAAGGUCCUGCUGGACACCUUCGAGUACCCGGGCCUCGUGCAUCACACCGGGGGCUGCCACUGCGGCGCGGUCCGCUUUGCGGUCUGGGCCCCGGCAGAUCUGCGCGUGGUGGAUUGCAGCUGCAGGCUGUGCAGGAAGAAGCAGCACCGCCACUUCCUCGUCCCGGCCUCGCGCUUCACGCUGCUCCAGGGCGCGGACAGCAUCGUCACCUAUCGGUCCGACACGCACCCGGCGCUGCACAGCUUCUGCAGCAGGUGCGGGGUGCAGAGUUUCCACGCAGCUGUCUCUGGUCCCCGCGUGUACGGCGUCGCCCCGCACUGCCUGGACGAGGGCACCGUGCGCAGCGUGGUCAUCGAGGAGGUCGGCGGUGGCUACCCGGGGGAGGAGGCCGCCGAGGAGCCCAAGGCCAUCCACAAGACGUCCUCCCAGUCAGCCCCUGCGUGUCCCCGCGAACAGGAGCAGUGAUUGGGGCCGCAAGCCCGCCCGAAACGGGCCCGGGCGGCCCUGCGGGGAGCGUCCGAGUACCUGCACAGAUCACAUGCUGUGAAAGAGAUGUUUCUGGCCUGGUCAAACCGUGGAUUCCCUUCCAGUAUUUACCCUUCCUCUCCACUAGUUUUCGGUGAACUCGCUUACGAUCCAAAUCUUGAGCACACCUUUGUCAGUGUACGACGAUAGUCUUGGAAUCCCGUAAGCAAGAAUAGUGUCUCUGCUUUUUCAAGUCAUCCAUUUUAUCUCUCGCUUUUACAGUUCUGCCUACAGUUGUCACAAAUCACCUGCAGAUGAUUCCUGUGUACUAUACGUUCCUGGUGCUAUUGUGAACAGGCUUGUUGUUUUCAGUGCUUUGCGUCUGGUGUGUAGGACGGCAACACACAAACAGUUUGUAAACGUGCUAGGAUGUCUUCCAUUCAUUAUCGUGUGUGUGCGACGUGUGCGUUUUAGAGAGGCAUUCACAUUUGCACUACUUAGUCCAGUUAUUUAGUGUUUUUUAUAUGAUAUGUUUUAAGCUUCAUUAGUAUUACAUACCUCAUUGCUCUUAUUAGACGAAUGAUGUUAGUGUUUUCCUCCGUUUUGUUUUAGAAACUGUCUCUGGGAAAGGAGAUGGGAGACAGGAAUGAGAAACGUCUGUGUGCUGUAUGCCCUCUUUAAUCUUUCUAAAUACCUAUCUUAUACAUGUGAGCAGUUCUUUGACUUCACGGCAAAAGAACGUUAAAGAGCCCUUGGAGUCAUUUCUCAUCUUCCUGGCAACCCCAAAAGGUGGAUUUUAUUAUCUCUAAUUUACACAAGAGUAAAUAAGCUCAGAGGAGUGCAAGAUCAUGUUCAGAGUCACAAAACGACUUCAUGGAAUUUAUGAUCUCAACACUAUCAGCCAACUUCUCAUCCCUGAGACCUCUCCCCAGAUCCCGUGGCAAAAUGCUCAGGACACCCAAUGGGAUGAGGGUAUGGCAUUUUUUUUCUUCCUGAAAUGCAGUUAGAAUUUCUGUCUUUUAGGGGUGGGGAAAUUUGUUUGUAUGCUUUCUGAGAGAGAAAAAAUUCAUUGUUUACAAUAUCCUGCUGUCAGCCAAAGAUUGUAUUCUGAGGGGGGUCCUUUAUUGCAGAAAUGGUUUCUGGUUGAAAGAAUGCAAAUCGCAAGCUUAGAUUCUGCUUCUGUAAAAACAGAUGACAGAAGGGGAGGACAGAAGGAUGGCUUCUAUUCUUGGGGAAACAAGAAGUCUGAUAAUGGAUGAAAGAUUUAAACAGUGAGAAAAAAACUGGGCAAUUGCCAACAGGAUAGGAAAUCUGAGGGAAAGAUCAGAGAUCUUGAAAGGAAAUGUUGUGGUGAUUUUCCGUGGAGUGUGUAAUAUCAACGCUCUUCCCCAAUCACCACAAAAAGAUCUUGAUGUGGCUGUGAUAUACUACAUGUUUACUGAAAAAUAAAUUAAAAUUUUAAUGUCCAAGUAGCACUAAAAUUAUUAUGAAUAUCACCAGUUUUCUGUGUUCCACCCUUUUGGAAGCUCUUACUUUCAGAAAAGAGAAAAGACUUUGAAGUUAGACCUGGACUGGACAGUUUCAUUUCAAGGUGGGCAGAACAGGUAAAAGUCAUAAGUAUCAUUCAGGCUUACAUAGAUAUAUUUGAUGGUGUGAACCCAGGGAUCAAUGGAAUUGUCAAGUACAGGUAAGCACUCUUGUAUUUACAAGAGAUAGUCCUGCUGGUUUUCCUCCAACUUCUGUAGCCACAUCUUCUCUAUUUCGCUUCUCUCCUGUUUCUCUAUGUCCCUUCUUUGCGCUCCCCUGUUUCUGUACAUAGGAUAAAGACCAUAUUUCCUUGGUAUUUACAGAUCUGGCAUAUAGGUCAUUAGUUGAAACCUAAUAGGCAUACUGACUAUUUGUUGAAUUAAUUAAUUAACCUUAGUAGUGACACUGAUAGGAAAACAAGCUCCCUAACGCAGUCUGGAAUGAGAAAAACAAGUGCCACAACUAUUAGUACCAAUGUGUAGCUUUGUGUAUCAGGUACCAAAUCAACUAUUGUGGUGAGUUAUGAGGUACUGAGCAAGAAGAACUUUGACUCCUUUUACUGAGACAUUGCACAUGGUAACUGUCACAGUGAAUCAAAGUUGCUUUUCCCAGAUCUUGGUCAUUCAUGUAUCAUCUUCAGGAUUUUUAACAUAUCCAAAUACCACCUGAAGAAUCAUUUGAUUAAUAUUUCCAUUGAAACCAUAUAAACUUCAAAUUUAAAUACAGUUUAAAAGAAGCCCCACAUCAUGAUCAAGAAUGGAAAACUAAUGUUUCAUGUCAUAGAAUAUAACUAAAAAUAAACACAAUGAAAAACAAAUAGUUGUAAAAUUCUUAAAAAUCUGAAAAAUAGCAGAGGUGCUAUAGCUGAUUACCACUAUAUGAUAAAACUAAUAUGUCUCCUUUCGAGAUAUGGGAAAGAAAUUGUUUUCUUUUCCUGCUGCAUUCUAAGGAAGACCCCUGUAUUUUAGUGCUGGCUUUUGGUAUUACAGUGUCCACAGAAGGGGUUCAGAGACAGCAAAAUUUCCAUGUCUGAGGAAAUGGGUGGGGGAGGGGCUGUAGAGGCAAUAUAAAGUAUUAGUAAUUAACCAAAAAUAAACAGAACCUCCUCUGUUCUGCCUAAAAAUAGUGCAAUUGCAGAUUUCCAAACUCACCCUCCAGGAGCAGUGAAAUCCUGCAUUUUCUCUGAAUGCCAAGAGUUUGUAAGUGGACAUAAAUAAACUAUCGCUGCUACAGCUUGGGUUCAAUCAAUCCAAUUGCAAUGAGGCCCUAGGUUUAACACUACUCUUACUGCUCUUCCUGGACAGGAAUCUUGGGCACCCAAGCAUACCUGCCAUGCUUCAAGAAGAGCCAUUCACAUCAGUAUGGGGGGAGCCACUGGGGUUCUAGUCCAGUCACAGGUCAGGAUGCGAUGAUACAGCUCAUGGAAGAAGGAUCGUUGUCCUUUCUAUCUUAUCCCUUUUGACCACACAACUAAGUCCUGGACCUAUUUUAUAUUGAUGUACUUUGUGCUAUGAGGACUUAAAACAGGCUGUAAAGGAUUCACUUCUAUUCCCACUGGACAAUGGCUGAUGAUAUCAGCAGUGAAGUUGUGACCUCCAGUGGGUAUUGGAAGAAACUGUACCAUUCUGGAUAGGUUAUUUGGGAAGCCCGUGUCUUGGCUGACUUCUCUUCAACGUGUCUGGGUUUCCUGAAGUCAGAAGAUUUCUGUCUGUAGGAGUUCCAGGAAAUGAGCCCUCUGACAUCAGAAGACUCUUUGGUUAGAAUGUUUUCUUUGCAAUAAGACUUCCAGGCAUCAAUUCUAGGCACAACUGCUUCCAGUAUAAAAAGAAGGUUGCCUAAAACAAAGAAGAAAUAAACUUUCAUAACUCCUUUGCUCAUCUCCCAAAACAAGUCUACCUCUCAUCAAGUUCUGGGAAAAGUCCUGGAUGGUGCAUUCUGUGGAGGAUAUAAUAACACUGUGGUGUGUCAACUUGGGUAGGCAAAAUUAUAUACCCCAGAAUUAACUUUCUAUAAUGUUUCUUGAUAAGUGGGCUGCUAGAGAUAAUCUCUUGUGUGAAUUAGAUGAUGGAAGGGAAGUAGCAGCCAUUCUAUGGCAUACACACUACUCCCGGUUAUUUAAGCAUGAAUAUAGCUUCUGCUGCAAAGGUAUUUUCCAGAUGUACUAGAAUACCCUAAUCAGUUGACUUUGAGUUAG